rnacentral:rRNA from 1 species
CUACGGGCGGCAGCAGUGGGGAAUAUUGGACAAUGGGGGAAACCCUGAUCCAGCAAUGCCGCGUGUGUGAAGAAGGCCUGCGGGUUGUAAAGCACUUUCGGUUGGGAGGACUGCUUCUAGCACUAAUAUUGUUGGAAGUUGACGUUACCUUCAGAAGAAGCACCGGCUAACUCCGUGCCAGCAGCCACGGUAAUACGGAGGGUGCAAGCGUUAAUCGGAAUUACUGGGCGUAAAGCGCGCGUAGGCGGCUAGAUCAGUCGGGUGUGAAAGCCCCGGGCUUAACCUGGGAACUGCAUCCGAUACUGUCUAGCUUGAGUACAGGAGAGGAGAGUGGAAUUCCACAUGGAGCGGUGAAAUGCGUAGAUAUGUGGAGGAACACCAAUGGCGAAGGCAGCUCUCUGGCCUGAUACUGACGCUGAGGUGCGAAAGCGUGGGGAGCAAACAGGAUUAGAUACCCGGGUAGUC